UACGGAGGAUCCAAGCGUUAUCCGGAAUCAUUGGGUUUAAAGGGUGCGUAGGCGGCUUUAUAAGUCAGUGGUGAAAGCCUACAGCUUAACUGUAGAACUGCCAUUGAUACUGUAGGGCUUGAAUCUAGUUGAAGUGGGCGGAAUACGUCAUGUAGCGGUGAAAUGCAUAGAUAUGACGUAGAACACCGAUUGCGAAGGCAGCUCACUAAGUUAGUAUUGACGCUGAGGCACGAAAGCGUGGGGAGCGAACAGG
rnacentral:rRNA from 1 species